rnacentral:rRNA from 1 species
UACGGUAGGUGGCAAGCGUUGUCCGGAAUUACUGGGUGUAAAGCGCGUGUAGGCGGGACGGCCAAGUCUGCUGUGAAAUCGCCCGGCUCAACUGGGCGGGGUCGGUGGAAACUGGUCACCUGGAGGACGGUAGAGGCGAGUGGAAUUCCCGGUGUAGUGGUGAAAUGCGUAGAGAUCGGGAGGAACACCAGUGGCGAAGGCGGCUUGCCAGAAUGCGCUCGACGGUGAGGGAUGAAAGCUGGGGGAGCAAACCGGG